UCAGGUCCCCGGAGGUUGGGGCGGCACAGUAAGGUCCCAGAGGGUCCCCUGAGGUCCCAGGCGAGUACCUCAGGUCCCUGAGGGCCUAGGCUGGGACCUCAGGUCCCAGAGGCGGACCUGAGGUCCGAGACGGUUACCUCAGGUCCCCGGGGGUUGGGGCGGCACAGUAAGGUCCCGGAGGGUCCCCUGAGGUCCCAGGCGAGUACCACAGGUCCCUGAGGGCCUAGGCUGGGACCUCAGGUCCCAGAGGCGGACCUGAGGUCCCAGAGGCGGACCUGAGGUCCGAGACGGUUACCUCAGGUCCCCAGGGGUUGGGGCGGCACAGUAAGGUCCCAGAGGGUCCC